CAGCCCUAAACGAUGCGCGUUAGGUGUAUCGGUGACCACGAGUCACCGAGGUGCCGAAGGGAAACCGUGAAACGUGCCGCCUGGGAAGUACGGUCGCAAGGCUGAAACUUAAAGGAAUUGGCGGGGGAGCACAACAACGGGUGGGAGCUUGCGGUUUAAUUGGAUUCAACGCCGGAAAUCUUACCGGGACCGACAGCAACAUGAAGGCCAAGCUGAAGACUUUGCCGGAUUAGCUGAGAGGAGGUGCAUGGCG
rnacentral:rRNA from 1 species